UGUCACUGCAACCUGCGCCUCCCGAGUUCAAGCGAUUCUCCUGCCUCAGCCUUCCAAUUAGGCACGUCCCGCUCCCCCAAACCAUCCUGGCGCAAACUAGUCUUUCAGGUAAACUUUGGAAUGUCCUUGGCAAGAGGGGACGUCCAUUCAGAUGGUUGGGAAGCUUAGAAUUUUACUUUUGGUUUACAAAUGUGCCUGCCUCAGGCCUCAGUCCGCUUCCUUUCCCUAAGCUCACUUGGAGUCCUGGCUCACCCAUGGUGCCCACACUU
rnacentral:lncRNA from 10 species